AAACUAACAGAUUUACUUCGGUAAUGACGUUAGGAAAGCGAGCGGCGGAUGGGUGAGUAACACGUGGGGAACCUGCCCCAUAGUCUGGGAUACCACUUGGAAACAGGUGCUAAUACCGGAUAAGAAAGCAGAUCGCAUGAUCAGCUUUUAAAAGGCGGCGUAAGCUGUCGCUAUGGGAUGGCCCCGCGGUGCAUUAGCUAGUUGGUAAGGUAAAGGCUUACCAGGGCGAUGAUGCAUAGCCGAGUUGAGAGACUGAUCGGCCACAUUGGGACUGAGACACGGCCCAAACUCCUACGGGAGGCAGCAGUAGGGAAUCUUCCACAAUGGACGCAAGUCUGAUGGAGCAACGCCGCGUGAGUGAAGAAGGUUUUCGGAUCGUAAAGCUCUGUUGUUGGUGAA
rnacentral:rRNA from 1 species